ACCUCGGUGGUGUAGUGCUAGCACGCGUUCUCGGUAUGGAUGAAACGCGGGUUCGACUCUAGUCUGAGGUC